AUCUAUGGCCAUACAACCUUGAAGGAGCUUGAUCUUGUCUGAUCUCAGAAGCUAAGCAGAGUCGGGCCUGGUUAGUAUUUGGAUGGGAGAUCUCACUAUGUGGCCCAGGCUGGCCUCCAACU
rfam:Heterocephalus glaber contig191977, whole genome shotgun sequence.